AAAUAUAAAUUAUUAUAAGUAGAGAAGAAGAACAACGACGACUCAUUCCGCUCACAAAUCAAAAUGACAUCCAGCAAUAUCUCACGCGCCACCGCGUCAUUCGCCCUCCUCUCUCUGCUCCUCUCCGCCGUAUUUCACUGCUCCGAUGCCAAUUCCCCCGCGGCCAAUUGCAGCACGAAAUGUAUUGCAGAGCAGUGUGACACGGUGGGGAUAAGAUACGGGAAGUAUUGUGGGGUGGGUUAUUGGGGUUGUGCCGGCGAGAAACCAUGUGAUGGUCUUGAUGCUUGUUGCA